rnacentral:rRNA from 1 species
AGAUUGAACGCUGGCGGCAGGCCUAACACAUGCAAGUCGAGCGGUAGAGAGGUGCUUGCACCUCUUGAGAGCGGCGGACGGGUGAGUAAUGCCUAGGAAUCUGCCUAGUGGUGGGGGAUAACGUUCGGAAACGGACGCUAAUACCGCAUACGUCCUACGGGAGAAAGCGGGGGACCUUCGGGCCUCGCGCCAUUAGAUGAGCCUAGGUCGGAUUAGCUAGUUGGUGAGGUAAUGGCUCACCAAGGCGACGAUCCGUAACUGGUCUGAGAGGAUGAUCAGUCACACUGGAACUGAGACACGGUCCAGACUCCUACGGGAGCAGCAGUGGGAAUAUUGGACAAUGGGCGAAAGCCUGAUCCAGCCAUGCCGCGUGUGUGAAGAAGGUCUUCGGAUUGUAAAGCUACGUUUAAGUUGGGAAGUAAGGGUUUGUAAACGUUUAAGUACGUUAGACUAACUUUUGACCGUUUACCGACUAGAAUAAGCACCGGCUAACGUCGUAGCCAGCAAGCCGUA